rnacentral:rRNA from 1 species
AUUGAACGCUGGCGGCAUGCCUUACACAUGCAAGUCGAACGGUAACAGGUCUUCGGAUGCUGACGAGUGGCGAACGGGUGAGUAAUACAUCGGAACGUGCCCGAGAGUGGGGGAUAACGAAGCGAAAGCUUUGCUAAUACCGCAUACGAUCUACGGAUGAAAGCAGGGGACCGCAAGGCCUUGCGCGAACGGAGCGGCCGAUGGCAGAUUAGGUAGUUGGUGGGAUAAAAGCUUACCAAGCCGACGAUCUGUAGCUGGUCUGAGAGGACGACUAGCCACACUGGGACUGAGACACGGCCCAGACUCCUACGGGAGGCAGCAGUGGGGAAUUUUGGACAAUGGGCGAAAGCCUGAUCCAGCCAUGCCGCGUGCAGGAUGAAGGCCUUCGGGUUGUAAACUGCUUUUGUACGGAACGAAAAGACUCUGGUUAAUACCUGGGGUCCAUGACGGUACCGUAAGAAUAAGCACCGGCUAACUACGUGCCAGCCGCCGCAGUAACAC